rnacentral:piRNA from 1 species
UGAUCUCGGUUUCCUCAAAUUGAAAGC